UUAGCUCAUAUUUGUAUGGAACGGGAUCGUUUGCGUACGUUUGCCGCUAGAGGCGCUGUUCCAAUUGCAUACAAAAUUGGCUUA
rnacentral:pre_miRNA from 1 species